rnacentral:rRNA from 1 species
UACGUAGGGACCAAGCGUUGUUCGGAUUUACUGGGCGUAAAGGGCGCGUAGGCGGCAAUUCAAGUCAUCUGUGAAAUCUCCGGGCUUAACCCGGAACGGUCAGAUGAUACUGCUUUGCUAGAGUGCAGAAGGGGCAAUCGGAAUUCUUGGUGUAGCGGUGAAAUGCGUAGAUAUCAAGAGGAACACCUGAGGUGAAGACGGGUUGCUGGGCUGACACUGACGCUGAUAGCGCGAAAGCCAGGGGAGCAAACGGG